rnacentral:hammerhead_ribozyme from 1 species
AUCCACCUGACAAGUCCGAAAUAGGACGAAACCCGCGUCAUAGAU